AUAUAUUUGGUGUAUGAUGCACAUAAAUUUUUGAUAUUUAAGGAUUUAGUUUAAUUCUAACAAUAUAUA
rnacentral:tRNA from 1 species